rnacentral:rRNA from 1 species
UUGGAUGAGUGGCGAACGGGUGAGUAACACGUGAGUAACCUGCCCCCUUCUUUGGGAUAACGCCCGGAAACGGGUGCUAAUACUGGAUAUUCACUGAUCUUCGCAUGGGGGUUGGUGGAAAGGUUUUUUCUGGUGGGGGAUGGGCUCGCGGCCUAUCAGCUUGUUGGUGGGGUGAUGGCCUACCAAGGCUUUGACGGGUAGCCGGCCUGAGAGGGUGACCGGUCACAUUGGGACUGAGAUACGGCCCAG